UCCAGUGAAAGCUAAGAUACAGGAGUUUGUGAAUGUACCAAAAUAUACGAGGACCAGCCAUUCAGAUGCUGAAGACCCAGAAGAGUUUCUUGGUUUUCACUGCAAAGGAUCUUGAAGUACUUUACAGACAUUACUUAAUUGAAUUUCCCAGAAUGCCAAGGAAAUGUUUCCAAAUACAAUUUUUUGUGCGUUUUGCAGACAGUUGAACUGACAGGGUGGCAGGACUUGUCCUGGCUUGAAGAAAAGCUGUGAGCAAAAACAAAGAACUAUCAUGUAUUUAUUAUGGCUAGAAACACACCACAAAUCUUCCUUGACUUAUAUCCUAAUAAACCCAUCCUUAAUUGAAAA